UUUUGCGCAGGCCUGAGCGCGGGACCCUGGGGAGGUCGGCUUCAUCCCCGUCUCUUCACCCUUCAUUUCCACAGAAACGCAUUUCAGGGUUUUCUUUCGCUAGGCGUUGAUCAAGACCUUUCUUUCAGCGUGGACCCUGGGAAUAAGCCCUAGCGGAAGGAAACAAGUAAAAGCCCAGAAUCUUAUCUCUGUGUCCCCGAUUGAGAAUUGGUGAUAUGAGGUCUGAAUUGGCAGAGAACACGCGGAAUACUUUUUAAAAAUGAUGGAAAAGAACAUUUUUUAAAAAAGGAAGAGGAUCUUUGAAAUGCCAGGCUUCAGUAAAAAAGAAUUUUGUGUACGUGGUUUCCCUGCUGCCCAGAUAUUUAUCUAAUAAUCCAGAGAUUAAUCUGCAUCCUUUUUCCUGACUUUCCUCGACUUCUUUUGCUAAUUUAUCAAGACUGAAAUUGAAUUGGCCGAUGCGGAUCGGUGCAUUUAAAAAAAAAAGAAAAACAAACGGUCCCGUUCAGAAUUCGGCCCUCCGAGAUUGUGAACGACGCAGCCCUUUGCAAUAAUUCUGCCAGCGCCUCCGGAGUUCCUCGCGUUGGUCUGAGAGACGGAGCAUGGCGGGGAGGGGCGUGACUUCGCUACCCUGCGCCGCUAGCCCACAGGAGGUCCCCCUGUACCAGACUCGUUCUGCUGGACUUUCCCCACCCGUUUUAUUUCAUCUUCCAGAGGGCUUGCGCUGUUGUGCGUCACGAGCCUGGCUGGGUACUGACAGCGGACCCGGCUGUGGUGGCGGUGGGUACUGAUGAACAGAACCCCCUGUGCUAUGAGUUUGUGUCCACUUUCCUCAGCACGGGAAUUUCAGGACAUUCCGUGAUCUACAAGGUUCUCCAACAACGCGUAGUGCUUAGCGAGAGAGAGGGCGGGCACUGACUUUUUCUUUUAUUUUAUCCGCUCACUUUCUAGGUCACUUUUGGGGGCAGAAGCAUCCAUAUUGUUUUCUCAUGGAGGUCUCCACGGUUCCCAGAGUCUAUUCCUUGGUCUCAAGUUACACAGAAGCCCAUCAGCUACAGGGAGAGGGGUCGGGGUCAUUCUAUGAGCAGUUUAGCCAGAAUUCCUCUCGCAGGAAAGCUGAAUGUGAAAGUGCCAGUAUGCUCAAUAAAUGUGUUUUUGUUAUGCCGUGUAACGUCUGUAGUAAAUAUGCAGUGUGUAUAAUAUUCUAGGAUGUAUUGAAGAGGCGGUGCUGUUGACACUUGUAACGCACAAAAAACGUGACCUUCAGGCGUGACGGCAGCCGCCCCCUUCUCCUCUCCAGCUGCUGUCUGUCUUUACGAGCGCCGGCGUCGGCACGCUGCCCGAAAUCGAAGACUCGGAUAUUUUUUUGGUAGUCGAACACCCACCCAACAAAUCGGAAUCUCUGUACCGAUCCCACCCCCACCUUCCUUGGCGGCCCCCAGCUUGUCCCGCGGUUUUGUGUCAUCGUGUGGAUCCCGCGCAUCGGUGCCUGGCUCGUUUGCUUUGGCCUGUUCCAGGGCUGCAGCCCCGCCAGUGCAGUUGCUGGAUAACUGGGCAAUACUGUGGAGGUGAAGCAAGAGGAAGCCUUUUGCAAUCCAGGAGGGGUUGUGAGCGUCCGUCUCUUUCAUAGACGCUGAAGGAUGAGCUCCCUCUUUUUUGCGGGCCCGCGGUCCUGUACGAGCCGAAGACCUGUGAGCGAACUCGAUCCCCGCGACCACCAGUGCGAACAGGAAGGGACGCAGCCCGUCUGCCUCCCUUUUAUUUUCUAGGUUGAUACUGGUGCCAGUGUGAGUAUUAACCCCAGAUACCUGAAGUGAGUUCUUGAACUUGUGCAUUGAAGACUGAAGACACAAGUCUUGUCUUGACACAAAUGGUUGUGGGGGUCUUAAGUUAUGCUGUUGAAGCCGAUACCCUGGUUUGCUUCAAGAAAUGGCUGGAUGGGAUCAAUUAGCUCCUAGCAGCUAAAUGGACUUGAUGGCCCAAAGGCCUCCUCUUGUUCUGUACCCUUUCGUAAGUUAAGGGGGUCUCCAAGCCUGUUCCUGGAGGGCAGCCUGCCUCACCAGUUAUUUAAAUAUGAGGAUCCCUUACUUAACGUUUCUAUAAAGGGAAAGGGUCGAAGGCUGUUCUGAUUAUUUGAUCUGAAUGAUCUUGAGUCUUUAAAAAUUGAUUAUUUCAAUAAAACGUGCAUGACGGGGGCCCUCCGGGACCAGGGCUGGAGACCACCGGAGUGAAAGUGUGUUCAGUAGACAGACAGGAGGUAUUGCACAAGCAGUGAUGGAUUUUUCUGAUAGUUCUGAUUAAAGGUACAGGGUGCUAAUCGUAGGCAGCUGCAGCUACACAAUCUCAGUAUUAACCAGGAGUAGGUCAGAAUACGGUGAGGUGUGGAUUUUUUUUCUUGUCCGUUAGCGGUUGGCAACUGAGUGUGAAUUGAAAUGACUGAAUUCGGUAAUUGCUGUAAAAAAAAAAAAAAGACACUUUCUGAGUUUCCCAUGCCAUGAGAAGGUACACAUCAUCCUGAAAGCUUUGGGUUUCUAUAUGUGUCAUAAGGCUAAAAAUCACUACUGGACGUUUUCCUUGCUGUUGCUGUAGUAGAAGUCUUGAAUCCUCCAAAUCCUGUUCUGUGCACAGGGGUCCUGGUGAUCACGUCAAAACCAUUUGUGAGAAGUUGUUGUAAGUUGUUAACUGUUCUUGACUUCUGACCACAUAGCAGAGCUUCCACAUUCUGGUCCUGGUGACCUUAGUCUGUCUUUUGUUCAAGCUGGGUGUUCACCCCAUUUUCUUUUGCCGAAAAGACAGGGAUGGUAGUUAUCUUCAGUACCAUAGAACCUAAUCAAUCGGACUACUAGUUCAGUUAAUAAAGGGCUUGGUUAUGUAAGAGUUCCCAGCAGCCCAGUAUACCUGCCGAAACUGGGGGUCACCACGAUCAGGUUUGGGGAUCGCUGCUGCGCCCGGUGUUGCUUUAGGCUGUUGCUCUCCUCAAGACAGCGCCUUGACUGCCGAGCUGAAAACGUACCGUCUCCUGCCCACGGGCUGACGGAACCCACUCCCCUCCCCAAAGAGGAUUGGCCAGGGGAAAAGAUCCCCCUUUUUACAUGCUCAAGUACCUGGCUCUUUCCUAGAGCAGGGUUCGCUCUUCAGAGGCGGAAAGAAAGAGUUACCCUGGACUUCCUUGUCCCCGACAGAGGCUCCUGUGCUGCUGUGGUUUUGGUUCUAGUAGACGUACAGCCCUCUGCCCUUCGCAGUUGGCUUCCUGUCACGGGGGCAGGGAGCAUGUGCGUUUGGCCUGUAAUGAACAGGAGUGGUGGGGGUUCUCGGGUUUUUGAUGCAAAGGCUUUACCUUCCGGCGCUCCCGGUGCUCGACCCCCGUGUCCCGAGGAGGGCGAGGGACGCCCCUCUCGGGGCUGGAGCGCGCUGGCAGAGCCCCGGCUCGUAGGGGCGCUCGCACGGCACGUCUUCUGUGAAACUGCUCAUGUGAGAUGUGCAAAAAACAAAAAGGGAUUGGGAUGUAUUUAAAAAAAAAAACACAUUAGUCUUAUUCUGUGUGGUGCUUUUUAUAUAGAAUGUGGGAUGUAGUACUUGGGAAAACCAAAUGAUGUCUUUUACAAACGAGGGGGAAGAGUGAACAACCGUAGUCCUCCUGGGGGGGAAGGGGGCUGGAGCAGUUGUUAAAUACCAGUGGGUCCUAAUGGGGGGCUGCUAGUGCUGCCUUUUCUUUCGUGAGUAGCAGUGGCUCCCUCUGCUGUUACCUACGCGUCAUUACCUGGAAAUCGUGCAAGGAGGCUACAGGCAGCUACUGAGCUCCAGAGCAAAGGAAAGGUUCCAGUCUCUGAGAAACGCAAGACUCCUGUUGUGUUGCAGUUGGUGCUGUUUCUGGUUCUUGUGCUCUUUCACAGAGCAAUAGUGGGUGCUAGAUUUUUUUUUUAACCCUUGACUGAAUUUGCACAGAGAGCUCGGUUUGCCGGACGGCAGGUCUGCCUCCGAUUCGUUUCAUGACUCCCUGAAAGAUCGCUGUGAGUGAGAGCUGUGCAGGAGUGAGCAGGAGGGGUGCAACGACUUGGUUUGACUCGAGAAAUUGGGAAAUUGCCCAGCUCUUGUGUUUGUUUUUUAGUGUUGCUAAAUUACCAACAUUCCCAGCAGGUAAAUGACCCGUUUUCAAAAAUGAACAAGACUACUGAGCUGUGCAUAACUAAUUAACUGAACUAAUUUGACCUGUAUAUACGAUUGCAUGCAGAUACACAUCCAGUGAUCCUGAGAGGUCCCGUGCUCUCUUUCAGGCAGAGACUGAGAACUGUAUGGACAAAAAUUCUAAGAUCCACUUUAAGAGAUCAUUCAAGAGUGUAGGAGAUCGGCCUUUUCCUUGGAACAUAUUGGCUGAACAUGAACAUGAAUAAAAAUGGGGGGAAAAAAAAGUCUUUGCCUUUGAGAUGCGGUGCAGGUGUACCCAAGACUCUUCAGUCGAAUGCUUUGCAAUCAUUUUGCUUUUGAAGUGUCAAAAUUGGCCCUGCACACUCCAUGGAGUGGGAUGUUGAUGGGGUGAGCAAUUACCCCCUUGCCUGCCAAACAGGUUAUGCUGAAAAUGAUGUCGGGGUGUCAGGAGGUGCUCACAUACUGAACAGGAUGUACCAUUCUUCUCCCAGCAUGCAUUGCAGGAUUAUUUCUAUUUUAACUACUCAGUCCAAUCAUAUUUUGUACUUGGGGGGGGAUUCUAAUGUCGUCAUGUCUCCUACAGUGUUUAUACUGUUUGUAUUCAGCCCGAUUGUGAGAUACUGUAUUCCUGAGUUUUUUUUUUUAAUUGGCUUUUUUCAUGUUUGUCCUUUCCUGCUGUGUUUGAGAAAUCAACGUGCCUGCUUUCCUCCUGCUGUUUCGCAUUUUUUCACUCCCAAUGCCACAGCUUGUCCACUGUUCAGCAGAGAUGUUGCUGUUGUAAAGAAAAAAAAAAUAUGCUGCCUUGUGAGAGGAUUCCUGAACCGUACUGUAGUCCUUUGUAUAUAAUAAAUACUGUAAGUAAAGUUUCACUUUACUCAUAA